GGUGAGGGGCAGCUAGUGAGGUAGGGUGCUAUGUUUUUGUGUUCGUGAACACAAAGAGAGAGUUUGAGUAACUUUGUUGAGGGGGCUGUAAGCAGAGGUCAGCUGAUGACCGGGCUAUACCACUGAUGGUUCACGGGUUUGGUCACUAUGACAAAACUGAAAUAAAAUAAGAUGAAAUCAAACAAAAAAAA